rnacentral:rRNA from 1 species
GACGAACGCUGGCGGCGUGCUUAACACAUGCAAGUCGAGCGGUAAGGCCCUUUCGGGGGUACGACGAGCGGCGAACGGGUGAGUAACACGUGGGUGACCUGCCCUCAGCUCUGGGAUAAGCCUGGGAAACCGGGUCUAAUACCGGAUAUGACUCCAUGACGCAUGUUGUGGGGUGGAAAGCCUUGUGCGGCUGAGGAUGGGCCCGCGGCCUAUCAGCUUGUUGGUGGGGUGANGGCCUACCAAGGCGACGACGGGUAGCCGGCCUGAGAGGGCGACCGGCCACACUGGGACUGAGACACGGCCCAGACUCCUACGGGAGGCAGCAGUGGGGAAUCUUGCGCAAUGGGCGAAAGCCUGACGCAGCGACGCCGCGUGAGGGAUGACGGCCUGGUGUAACU